CCGAGAAUCGGGUCCGCCUCUGGCGGACUCCCGUCUCCCAUCCCAUGCGAACCUUACCGUCGUUGCUUUGGCGGACCUGCAGGCGCCGCCUGCCGCCGGCCCCCGGGCUGGCGAGCGUCCGCCAGAGUCCACCCCAAACUCGUUUUACCGGUGACGUCUGAGCAAACAACGAAAUAGCACA
rnacentral:misc_RNA from 1 species